UAGGGAAUCUUCCGCAAUGGGCGAAAGCCUGACGGAGCAACGCCGCGUGAGUGAUGAAGGUCUUCGGAUCGUAAAACUCUGUUAUUAGGGAAGAACAAAUGUGUAAGUAACUAUGCACGUCUUGACGGUACCUAAUCAGAAAGCCACGGCUAACUACGUGCCAGCAGCCGCGGUAAUACGUAGGUGGCAAGCGUUAUCCGGAAUUAUUGGGCGUAAAGCGCGCGUAGGCGGUUUUUUAAUGUUGUUGUGAAAGCCCACGGCUCAACCGGGGAGGGUCAUUGGAAACUGGAAAACUUGAGUGCAGAAGAGGAAAGUGGAAUUCCAUGUGUAGCGGUGAAAUGCGCAGAGAUAUGGAGGAACACCAGUGGCGAAGGCGACUUUCUGGUCUGUAUCUGACGCUGAUGUGCGAAAGCGUGGGGAUCAAACAGG
rnacentral:rRNA from 1 species